CCACCCUCCUCCAGCCCAGACACUGGUCUAAGCAGCGUCUCCUCGCCCUCGGAGCUGUCGGAUGGCACCUUCUCCGUCACGUCAGCCUAUUCUAGUGCCCCAGAUGGCAGUCCCCCCCCUGCACCUCUGCCAGCCUCUGAGAUGACUAUGGAGGACAUGGCCCCAGGCCAGCUUUCCUCUGGUGUCCCAGAAGCCCCCCUACUCCUCAUGGACUAUGAGGCUACCAACUCCAAGGGGCCCCUCUCCUCCCUUCCUGCCCUCCCACCAGCCUCAGAUGAUGGGGCUGCUCCAGAGGACGCUGACAGCCCACAGGCUGUGGAUGUGAUCCCGGUGGACAUGAUCUCACUAGCCAAGCAGAUCAUCGAAGCCACACCGGAGCGGAUUAAACGAGAGGAUUUCGUGGGGCUGCCCGAGGCUGGAGCCUCAAUGCGGGAGCGGACAGGGGCUGUGGGGCUCAGUGAGACCAUGUCCUGGCUGGCCAGCUACCUGGAGAAUGUGGACCAUUUCCCCAGCUCAACCCCUCCCAGCGAACUGCCCUUUGAGCGAGGUCGCCUGGCUGUCCCUUCAGCACCCUCCUGGGCAGAGUUUCUCUCUGCAUCCACCAGUGGCAAGAUGGAAAGUGAUUUUGCCCUGCUGACACUAUCAGAUCACGAGCAGCGGGAACUGUAUGAGGCUGCCCGAGUCAUCCAGACGGCCUUCCGAAAGUACAAGGGUCGGCGGCUGAAGGAGCAGCAGGAGGUAGCAGCAGCUGUAAUCCAGCGCUGUUACCGGAAGUACAAGCAGGUGAGACCCUUCUCCCUCAAAAGUGUAACCAGCAACCCACCAACCCACACCCACGCCUAACCAUUCCAGAAUGUUGCCAGAGCCCUAACUCCCCUUCUCUCUCCACAAGCUGACCUGGAUUGCACUUAAGGUAUUAGGCAUGAGCUCUGAGUGUGAGGUCUGUGAUGAUUCAGUCUUUCCUUGAGUGUGUGGGUUACAGA
rnacentral:sRNA from 1 species